rnacentral:lncRNA from 1 species
GAGGGUUUCGGCUGUGGGUAUUUUAUACCCAACAUAUAUGAUAUAUGAAAGUAUGUUUAGGGCUGAAAUUUAUUUCUAUGACCUGAACCUAUUUAUAUAUAUAAUAAGUAUUUGUAUGCAUGAUCUAAAAUUAUUUUGAGAUCAAAAUUUACUCUUUAUGCAAAGAAUUUAAAUCUAAAAAUUUUGAUUUAAGAUCUGAAAUUAGUAUUUGUGUAUGAGGGAUUGGUCAUGGGUAGAUCAAGU